GCCCCCGUAGCUCAAUGGAUAGAGCAGCGCCGUUCUAAGGCGUUGAUGUGGGUUCGAUUCCUACCGGGGGCG
rfam:Candidatus Liptonbacteria bacterium GWC1_60_9 gwc1_scaffold_2329, whole genome shotgun sequence.